ensembl:misc_RNA 7SK 7SK RNA
GAAUGUGAGGGGGGUGGUUAGGGUCGGGUGCCCUUGUCCUCCCUCACUGCUCCAUGUGUGUCUCUCCAGAAUAAAUGCUUCGUCUGAGAGGAUGGUCUUCUCUGGUAACUAGAGGAGGACCAGUCUGGGUCAAGGGUACAGUACAGUGGCUGCACACAUGCAUUCAGGGAUGUUAAAGAAGGCAGUGAUGGCAAAGAAAUGGCUGUCAAGAAAUGGCUGUCUUU